CUGACUGCUAUCGAUUGUACUAAGCCAUGUGAGUCAUUGUAGCAAUACAAGGCAUACGGCUCAGUAACACGUAGUCAAUCUGCCCUAUGGACGUGGAUAACCUCGGGAAACUGAGAAUAAUCCGCGAUAGAUUAUAAUGCCUGGAACGGUUUAUGGUCCAAAUGAUUCGUCGCCAUAGGAUGGGACUGCGGCCUAUCAGCUUGUUGGUGAGGUAAUGGCCCACCAAGGCUAUUACAGGUACGGGCUCUGAGAGGAGAAGCCCGGAGAUGGGUACUGAGACACGGACCCAGGCCCUAUGGAGCGCAGCAGGCGAGAAACCUUUGCAAUGUGCGCAAGCACGACAAGGUUAAUCCGAGUGUUUCCUGCUAAAGGAAUCUUUUGUUAGUUCUAAAACCACUGAUGAAUAAGGGGUGGGCAAGUUCUGGUGUCAGCCGCCGCGGUAAAACCAGCACCUCAAGUGGUCAGGAGGAUUAUUGGGCCUAAAGCAUCCGUAGCCGGUUCUGUAAGUUUCCGGUUAAAUCCACUAGCUCAACUAAUGGGCUGCCGGAAAUACUGCAGAACUAGGGAGUGGGAGAGGUAGACGGUACUCGGGAGGAAGGGGUAAAAUCCUUUGAUCUCUUGAUGACCACCUGUGGCGAAGGCGGUCUACCAGAACACGUUCGACGGUGAGGGAUGAAAGCUGGGGGAGCAAACCGGAUUAGAUACCCGGGUAGUCCCAGCUGUAAACGAUGCAGACUCGGUGAUGCACUGGCUUUUGGCCAGUGCAGUGCCGCAGGGAAGCCGUUAAGUUUGCCGCCUGGGAAGUACGUACGCAAGUAUGAAACUUAAAGGAAUUGGCGGGGGAGCACCACAAGGGGUGAAGCCUGCGGUUCAAUUGGAGUCAACGCCGGAAA
rnacentral:rRNA from 1 species